UACGUAGGGUGCAAGCGUUGUCCGGAAUUAUUGGGCGUAAAGAGCUCGUAGGCGGUCUGUCGCGUCUGCUGUGAAAACUCAGGGCUUAACCCUGAGCUUGCAGUGGGUACGGGCAGACUAGAGUGCGGUAGGGGAGACUGGAAUUCCUGGUGUAGCGGUGAAAUGCGCAGAUAUCAGGAGGAACACCGGUGGCGGAAGGCGGGUCUCUGGGCCACUACUGACGCUGGAGAAGCGAAAGCAUGGGGAGCGAACAGG
rnacentral:rRNA from 1 species